rnacentral:rRNA from 1 species
AUGGUGUUUGAUGAGGACAUUAAUACCAUUGUUACUCCCACAGCCCCUGCUAUUAUACAUACUGGACCAAUUACUAGAGCUCUCGCAUGCCAAUUAAAUUACCAUGUACUUUCGUUUCUUGGUAAUGAUUCUAAUGUUCAUGAGAAUAUGAUGCUGCCUAAAUUGGAUACAUUUGUUUUGCUUACAAAUGAAGGGCCUAGCUUGGAGAAGUAUGAACAUUGGAGCAAGAACAAGCAUGGAGUUGAUAGCAUGCGCAAGGGAAACAAAAAUGGAGUUUCCAGUGAUGAUUUCAGAACUUUGAAGCCACCAUAA